rnacentral:rRNA from 1 species
GUGCCAGCCGCCGCGGUAAUACGGAGGAUGCAAGCGUUAUCCGGAAUUAUUGGGCGUAAAGCGUCCGCAGGUGGUUACUCAAGUCUGCUGUCAAAUACUAGAGCUUAACUCUGGAAGGGCAGUGGAAACUGAGAAACUAGAGUCCGGUAGGGGUAGCGGGAAUUCCCAGUGUAGCGGUGAAAUGCGUAGAUAUUGGGAAGAACAUCGGUGGCGAAAGCGCGCUACUGGGCCGGAACUGACACUCAGGGACGAAAGCUAGGGUAGCGAAAGGGAUUAGAUACCCUCGUAGUCC